AUUGAACGCUGGCGGCAGGCCUAACACAUGCAAGUCGAACGAGUGGCGGACGGGUGAGUAAUAUCUGGGAAACUGCCCGAUGGAGGGGGAUCACUCCUGGAAACGGUAGCUAAUACCGCAUACCAUCUGAUGUGCCCAGAUGGGAUUCGCUAGUUGGUGGGGUAACGGCUCACGUAGUCGACUAUCCCUAGCUGGUCUGAGAGGAUGACCAGCCACACUGGGACUGAGACACGGUCCAGACGCCUACGGGAGGCAGCAGUGGGGAAUAUUGCACAAUGGGCGCAAGCCUGAUGCAGCCAGGCCGCGUGUAUGAAGAAGGCCUUCGGGUGGUAAAGGACUUUCAGCGAGGAGGCGUUACUCGCAGAAGAAGCACCGGCUAACUCCGUGCCAGCAGCCGCGGUAAUUA
rnacentral:rRNA from 1 species